CAGCCGCCGCGGUAACACGAGGGGAGCUAGCGUUGUUCGGAAUUACUGGGCGUAAAGCGCGCGUAGGCGGCCUUUUAAGUCAGAGGUGAAAGCCCGGGGCUCAACCCCGGAAUUGCCUUUGAAACUGGAAAGCUAGAAUCUUGGAGAGGUCAGUGGAAUUCCGAGUGUAGAGGUGAAAUUCGUAGAUAUUCGGAAGAACACCAGUGGCGAAGGCGACUGACUGGACAAGUAUUGACGCUGAGGUGCGAAAGCGUGGGGAGCAAACAGGAUUAGAGACCCCAGUAGUCCCUGUCUCUUAUAC
rnacentral:rRNA from 1 species